rnacentral:rRNA from 1 species
GGGAUAACACUUGGAAACAGGUGCUAAUACCGUAUAACACUAUUUUCCGCAUGGAAGAAAGUUGAAAGGCGCUUUUGCGUCACUGAUGGAUGGACCCGCGGUGCAUUAGCUAGUUGGUGAGGUAACGGCUCACCAAGGCCACGAUGCAUAGCCGACCUGAGAGGGUGAUCGGCCACACUGGGACUGAGACACGGCCCAGACUCCUACGGGAGGCAGCAGUAGGGAAUCUUCGGCAAUGGACGAAAGUCUGACCGAGCAACGCCGCGUGAGUGAAGAAGGUUUUCGGAUCGUAAAACUCUGUUGUUAGAGAAGAACAAGGAUGAGAGUAGAACGUUCAUCCCUUGACGGUAUCUAACCAGAAAGCCACGGCUAACUACGUGCCAGCAGCCGCGGUAAUACGUAGGUGGCAAGCGUUGUCCGGAUUUAUUGGGCGUAAAGCGAGCGCAGGCGGUUUCUUAAGUCUGAUGUGAAAGCCCCCGGCUCAACCGGGGAGGGUCAUUGGAAACUGGGAGACUUGAGUGCAGAAGAGGAGAGUGGAAUUCCAUGUGUAGCGGUGAAAUGCGUAGAUAUAUGGAGGAACACCAGUGGCGAAGGCGGCUCUCUGGUCUGUAACUGACGCUGAGGCUCGAAAGCGUGGGGAGCGAACAGGAUUAGAUACCCUGGUAGUCCACGCCGUAAACGGUGAGUAAUAAGUGUUGGAGGGUUUCCGCCCUUCAGUGCUGCAGCA